GGUUAAGCGACUAAGCGUACACGGUGGAUGCCCUGGCAGUCAGAGGCGAUGAAGGACGUGCUAAUCUGCGAUAAGCGUCGGUAAGGUGAUAUGAACCGUUAUAACCGGCGAUUUCCGAAUGGGGAAACCCAGUGUGUUUCGACACACUAUCAUUAACUGAAUCCAUAGGUUAAUGAGGCGAACCGGGGGAACUGAAACAUCUAA
rnacentral:rRNA from 2 species